rnacentral:rRNA from 1 species
UGGGCAACCUGCCCCUGACACUGGGAUAACCCCGGGAAACCGGAGCUAAUACCGGAUACUCUCGGCCGAUCACAUGGCUGGCCGAGGAAAGGUCCGCCGGUCAGGGAUGGGCCCGCGGCCUAUCAGCUUGUUGGCUAGGUAACGGCUCACCAAGGCGACGACGGGUAGCUGGUCUGAGAGGACGACCAGCCACACUGGAACUGAGAUACGGUCCAGACUCCUACGGGAGGCA